UACGUAGGGUGCGAGCGUUGUCCGGAAUUAUUGGGCGUAAAGGGCUCGUAGGCGGUCUGUUGCGUCAGGAGUGAAAACUCGGGGCUUAACCCCGAGCCUGCUUCUGAUACGGGCAGACUAGAGGUAUGCAGGGGAGAACGGAAUUCCUGGUGUAGCAGUGAAAUGCGUAGAUAUCAGGAGGAACACCGAUGGCGAAGGCAGGUCUCUGGGCUGAAACUGACGCUCAUGCACGAAAGCGUGGGGAGCAAACAGG
rnacentral:rRNA from 1 species